UGUCAUGUUUUUCCACAGCUUUCUUGAACUUCUUUUUUCUUUUCUUUAAUUUUUUCUUUCAAGAAUCUCCCUCAUUUUAAUAUGUAUGAAAGAGAUUCUUAAAUGGAAGAAUUAAAGAGGAGGAAAUGUAUACGUGUAUUGUAUAGGAGUUCAAGAAAGCUGUGGGAGAACAUGGCAG
rnacentral:pre_miRNA from 1 species